rnacentral:lncRNA from 1 species
AUAUUUUAGCUCCACCUGGAUACAAGAUUCAUUUGUAUUUCUGGGAAUGGUUUGAAAUCGAAGUCAGUCAAGAGUGUAAAUUUGAUUAUUUAGCAGUCCAUGAUGGUCCAUUUAGUUAUUCACCAAAGAUAGCAAAACUAUGUGGCAAUGAAUACCCAUCCAAAAUAAUAACAUCGUCUACCAGGUUUAUGUGGUUACAGUUUGUCAGUGAUAAGAACUUGGGAGGAAGAGGAUUCAAAGUUACAUACACAUUUGUAGCACAAAGUGGUAUGUAAAUAUAUAUAAGUUUUAGGUAUCAGUGGUAGAUGUUUAUAGAGGGACUAUAAUUUAGCAUAUUUGCAUGCAUGAUGAUAUUAUUUAUCUUGUAAAAAAUAUUUCCUUUCUCAAUUUAUACUGUAUACAUUACAACAAUUUUUUUUUACCUUUUUAUUAACAUUAUUCUACUUGGCGGCAUUUGUUCAUGGUUAUGGUUGACUUUUUGAAAUUAUUUAACAUCUCACAGCAGUAUAUAUUACUGUUGCCUUUAUUCAUUCACCUUUUUUAAUUGAAUUUGUAUUUACAUUGUGUCAUAGAUCAAAUUUAUAUAGAUUUAUGGCACACGUAUAGAUUUCAUUUCACUUAUUGACAACUUUUUAAAAUUCUUGAGGAACCAACUCUAGUUUGAUUGAGAGUUCCCUUCGGAAGGACGAAAUUCAUAAAAUGUUAUUUUUACCAGCAUACCGUGAUCGCAGUUGAUAAACUAGGCGUAGAGAUAGUUUUUGUUAAAUCAAUAUCACUAAAAUGACUACUCCACCUAAUGUUCUACAGCAUGGUUAUGAAGAAACGAUUCUAAUUGAUAUGCACCUAGCAAGUCCGUUGUCUCAGUUUCUAAUUUUAAAAUAGAAACAUUUUGACAAUAAAAAAAACACAGUUUUGUUUAACUUUGUAAAUCUGGAAUUAAUACUUGUUUUGUUCUGGUCCGUGAUAUGACACUUACUGGUGGAUGUAACUUUGAAAUUAUGUGGCGGAUGAUGCGUCAGAGUAGGAUGAUUAUGCGCUGUAAUUGAUGUACCUGUUUUUAUCCUGUUUGGCGAUCAAGUAAUUUUGCUGCUGUCCGUCAGUUUUAUUCUGGCCUAAAUUAUGAGACUUAUUGAACUUUGUAAUACUACCUGUAUAUAUAAACGGAUAAUAGGACGCAACUUUUAUGAGCAUGCACAUGGUGCAGCUGUUUACUUCACGAUGCUUGUCAUUCUACCAUCAUGUUUAAUCAUUGAAAUAUUCAAUUGAAAUAUUUGCAAUCGGGCGGUUGGCAAUAAACAGUCAAUAAAUGAAUUACAAAAACACAAACAUUUAAAUUUCAUCUUGUUUUUUGCGCUCAACUUUUAACGUUCAAUUUGAAAUUCGAAUUCUGCAAUGAAUAAUACUCGAAAUGCUUUUUAGGAAAAUUAGAAAACAGAAAAUCAAAAUAAUGUGUGCAAGUUAGCAUGCCAGCUCUAUAUUCAUUUUCAGUCUGUAAAGUACAUUAUUCUACCUGAACACUUUUUUUGCUCUUUAGAGUAUAAACUGAUUGCCAGUAGAGAAGCAGCAAAGGCAGUUUGAAUUAUUUGGUUCCAACCGACAAAGAAUCGAAACCAAGCGUCCGUGCUCUCAUGUGAACCCGCCAACCCAGGACCAUAUAUCGUAGAAAAUGUGUUUGAUGGAACAGGAGCGAUGAUGCAACAACCUAUUGUCGUUAAUAAUUUUGUUUUAAUAAUUUUGUUAAGCGUGUAAAAAACAACACAAGCACACUGCACAGAUGUAUUACUUUAAACAGUUUGUAAUGUUUAGUGUUGUGAGAAUACAUUUUUGUAUUCGAUGAUAGAUUUGUUAAAAUCCUUUUCUAUUUGAUUUUGACUAUGAUAUAUUAUAUUGUCUUGAUCUUUUCAGGAUAUAAAGAAAAAGAAGAAGAACAGAAAGGUAGGACUCUUGUUUUCCUAGAAAUCAUAAACACAUUUAUGAGAUAAGGAAACUAUAAUAAAUAUUGUUUUAACGAGACAAUGAUACAAUUAAUUGGCAACAUAGGUUAUACGAAGAUGCCAAAGUUGAUUCCAAGAAUACCAGAAUACUAUGUUCGCAUGUCUAUGCAAAUCUUGUCUAAUUCUCAUUCAUGUGAAUUACAAUGUCAAUGUUGGUACAUGUGUCGUGGUUUGUAGAUAUUUUUCUGCUGACACGCCUGGUAACGAUACAUAAGUUGUCUGAUAUGUGUAAGCUAAUUUUUUGAGUCAUUAACCCACUUUCUGAUACCAUGAGUUUUAUAUUUUUUAAGAUGUUGAAUUUUUUUUACAUGACGUGCGACAAUUUGUGAAGGCUUCAUUUCUAUGUAACACAUUAUUGAUGUUAAACGUCGACUUUUAAAUUCAUUUAAAUUCUGGUCAUUUGAUGAUUUAAUUUAUAUCUUUGAUUAAAAAAUUUGAAAAUACCGUAAAAGAUACAUACAAUAUGCAUGAACAAAUAUAAAGUUUUGAUAGUUCCUGUACUACAAUUUAAUAUAUGAAUAAUUAAUUUCGAAACAGUCCAAAGGCAAAUAUUAGAAUUGUGUUAGGGAUGUUAGAAAGUAAGCUCCUGUAUAGAACAUGUGGUUAUGAGAAAUGAGGACAAUGAAUCCAAUAGUUUUGACUGACAUAAAUGUCAAUAUUACUUGUAAAUGAAACUUGCGUUUUUAUUUUUCAUAAUUAAACAUUUUUUUUAUAAACUUAUUACCAACAGCUGAAAAAUUUCUUAACCGGCCUACUUGCGGCUAGCAAACUGUUAACGAAGAGUUUUUGUGAAUUCUUAUGUUUGUGUCAAAUAUUUGGUGCUUUAAAUCACAAAAGGGAAGCUGCGAUGAUCUUCUCGUUCACAUACUAUAUAUAUGUUCUUACUAUGUUAUAAUAAACCAUGCUUUCUUUUUCUUUCUAGUUUGUAGAAUACAUUACGAUAAAAAGGUAGGACCUGAAGGAGAAAUAACUUCUGACAUGAUUCCAUUUGCUGAUACAUCGUCCCCCGGAUAUCCAGUUAAUAAGCCUAUUGACUGCACAUGGGAAAUUGAUGCAGAACGCCACUCAAAGGUAUCUAGCUUAUAGUAGCACAUGCAUGCAUUUAAAUGUUGUUAGAGCGUAUUGUAUUUUCAAAGAUUUGAUAUAAAACAAUAAUAAAGUGCUUUUAUUUUGUCUUCUAAAUAUAAUGAACUUUUCUUCCGAUGAUGUAAUAAUAUCAUUCGGUCGAUUGACAGGAAUGCACUCCAUUUGGUUUUGUUUACUUGUAUUUAUUCGAAUUGGUUUCAUUAUCAAUGCCGUCUGGCUUUUGUCAGUCUAGUAUGUUUUUAUUUAUUUUAUGUUUCGGAGUUUAGUUUGACGUCCAUUUUCGCUGAACUAGGUCUGCUCCUUGUUCGGUUGUUAAUUGUUUCUUUGACGCAUUUCCAAUUUCCAUUCUCAAGUUUACCUAUAUAUAUUUCCUUUAUAGUCGUGUAAUGAAAUACAUGAUUCUAAUCCAUUACAAAUAUAACUGUAUUUGUAUUGCAGAUAGCUCUUGCACAAGUGACUACAUAUUUCCAUAGCGCUGGGAACUGUGGACUUAACAAAAUAGAAAUUUAUGAUGGGUCAACUUUAAAUAAAGAUAAACGAAAACAAAACUGUGGUCCUGGUCCAUUCGAGCCAUUUGAAUCGAAAACAAAUAAAGUAUUUGUUCGAAUCUUUGGCAGCAGUCUAAAUUACAAACCAACGAUAAAUCUUCUAUUUACAAAGUUUUAUAAAAGUAAGUAUAUUUUAGUAUUUAGUAUUUGUGAAGGAAUGAAAUAAUAGUAGCCGGUUCAAGUUUCUUGUUGGUUUAAGAACAGUAGUUAUGUUUAUUUUUAUGAAGAAAAAAAUCUUUGCAAAUAAAAUAUUUGAAAUUUAUUUUCUGUCUUUAAUAUAAUCGUGAGGUUUACAAUGUUGUUUGUCAGAUACUUUAUAUUAAGUACAACAUUGUAAACAAGGUUUUACUAUCCACGUCAUCUGGUCGAUGAUGCAUAGUUGUCUCUUUGAUAAUCCUUCCACAUAAAUUUAUUUUUUUGUCACUAAUUUGCAUGAUAUCUUUUAUCUGCACUAGAUGAUGCGUCUAGAAUUUGCAUAAUAUCUUUUAUCUGCACUAUGUGUAGUUGCUAGAAUAACUCUGGUGUGAUGAUGAAAUGCGUCAUGACAUACAUUGUAUAAUUUUUUUCUUCUUGUAAUAUUUGUCAGGUAAUUAAACAAGUUUUGUCGGUAUUUUUCAUCUUUACGUAAUUCAAUUUUUCAGACGAAACUUGCAAUUCCAAACAUUUUUCUUGCAAUGGAAGAUGCAUCAGCAACACUCUUGCUUGCAAUGGAAAGAUUAACUGUCCAAGUGGAUUAGACGAAGAAAACUGCGAUCUGGAUGAUAGUGAGACUGUUGGUAAGCACUAUAUAUCUCUCACAGAUUUCUGAGUUCUUUGCUUUUAGUUAUCUGUUUAGCAUAUUCUCUUGGAACAUCUUUUUGAAUUGCAAUGGUAUUCGGUACUGAGAAAUGCGUCUGCUCAAAAAUUAAAAUUACGCUUUAUAAAUUGUGUUCAUCUGAAGUGCUUUUCUAUAUCAACCUUCAUCACGAACGCUCAAAGCCAAAAAUAUGAAAGCGAUGGAUUCAUAACUACAAAAGCUAUAUCUUAUGUGAUGAAAGGAGUGUCGUUACGUAGCUUAGUCAUAUAUUUCAUGUUUAUACAUAUUUCAUAUUUUCAUGCUGCUAUACACUUCCACAGUACUUGUGUCAAAUUUCCAUUCGUUUGAUGUGUUUGAGCUUUUGAUUUUGCUAAUUUUCGUAUGGACUUUCAGUUUAGAGAAUUUUGCUCUGAGUUCAGAAUUUUCGUUAUUUUACUUUUUCUGUAGGCACACAUAUAAUGUAUAGUAUGUCUUACAAAAUCUUGUAUCGAUGACUAAAGAUAAACACAAGAUAUGAUUCGGUCAUUUAUUAAUUUUUUUUUUUUUUCGACCAAUAAAUUAAAGUCAGUGAAUUUUAUUUUCAACGUUACUGAACAUUUAUAAGUGGAAUCAUAGAUAAAACAAACUUAAGAAGAUAAAAAAUGAUAAUUGGAAAUAAAGUUUUAUUGAAAUGAUGUACAUUUUAUUUUCUUAUACUGAACACCAAUAUUGGGCUAAGACUAGUUAAGCAUUGUGCGACAACAGUGAAUCGAAGAAAAUCGACGAAAGCUUAUUUUUAUUUUUUAAAACAUAACUCUUUGUAAAAUAAAUGUCGUCAUGAUGAGGUUUUUUUUAGGAUAUACGUGUAAAUAAGGAAUCUAAUAAAUCAUUAUGAUAGGAUCGAUUUGUGUUUUUACUUUGGCACCUUUGCCUCUUCUGUCUCAGACAGAAAUUCAACAAGAGUCGAUGAUAAUAUCUAGACAUGAUUUUUUUCAAAGGGGAUUCGUUGUUAAAAUUCUGCAUUAAUAUAUAAUUGUUUAUUAAUGAAAACGUUUAAUUGUGAUAGGGACAUUUUCUGUUUACUAAAGUUGUACUUGACUGACAUACUUCCUACCAACUAUGUGAAUUGUUUCAAUUUGUAAAAAUGAUUCUUAAUAUUAUUACUAUUUGCAAACAAAUAGUGGACAGUUUUAUAGAAUACAAUGAAUCUCUCCUUUCUGAUGUUAUAGCAUCGUUUCCUGUUAAUGUAUUGUUAAUAUCUUCCACAUUUUCUGAUUUUCUUUUAUUCUGUAAUUUAUAACAUAAAAUAUAAGUUCUGCAUCUAGUUUGAUAAACAGAUUAAAAACGUUUUGUAAUAUAUUACAAACAGUAGGUUAUUCGUAGGAGGCAAGAAAAUAAAACGGUUUCCGUACACAACAGAUGUACAAUCGUGAUGAUUAAUUAGACUAAAUAUUUAUCUAUCUUAAUCUACCAUUCAUUUCAUACAGUAGUUAUUCUGAUUUAAACUGACACCUCUGCAGUCAUACACUUUGUUCAUGUGGAAAGCCAGAUGGCUUAGCCCGGAAGAUUUCAAUUAUAAAGAUAAUACAUGGAAAUUAAUAUUUUCUUCAUGUCCAUGCAAAUUAUCCCCACCUUUCAUCAUAACAGAUGCUGCAAUCAACUAUGAUAGGUGUAUUUAUUGUUUUAAAGGUACCUGUAAUCGCAGCAAAGUUAAGCAAAGUUCUACAUGUUAUUAACGUCUUUUCAAAUUAAGAAACUGGAGUCGUUGUAUCAACAUUUCGUUUGUAUUUUAAUAGAGGACAAAAUCUAAUUUACCAUGGAGAUUAUCUCCAAAAAAUGCUUAUGUAUGACCUCUGCUGUUAGGUAUGACCUGGUGUAAACAUAAAUAUAAACAGAAUACAAAGGCAAGCACAUGCACAAUCGUAUAAUUACGAUUUUCCAAGGCCUGUUUGAUUUCAAGUCAUUAUAAAGUACAUCUCCGCUUUACUUAUUUGUAUUUUUUGUGGGCAGAUUCAGUCAGCGAAGAGAGCUCCGCGGCUGCUGCCUUGUAUAAAUACACAGGCUUAGACCGCGCAAAAAUAUACUUGAAUUUUUUAAAAUAUAUUUACUUUGCUAUAUUUCAAACGUUCUUGAAACAUAAGCGACACCAUUAUUCUCAAUAAUGCUGCGAACAAUUGCCAAGAUAAAUUACGUUAAAUCGUUGUAAAUCAGUCAGGGUCUGGAACUUCAAAAUCAGUUAGGACCAUUAUCAAUUCUACUUCAUUCUAUUCGAGAAAUAAUCUGUUAUGUUUGGUAUUCUAGUCACAUUUUCAGAAUAACUUUACAGAACUUAAGAAUAGCAAUCUUCACCAAUUGUUUAUAAUUCCUGUCGUUUACUAAUCCAUCUGUAUAUUCAUGCUCUGUAAUUAAGAAAUUAAUUGUAUUUUCAAUGCUCUGCCAAUCUUUUUUUUUGUAAACUGUUCUUUCAUCUUAUUUACUUUCUAUCGAAAAAAACUCGUUGGAUAAAAUUGCUAAGGUCGCUUUUUCUAUCAUACACUACGGUAUCGCUUGUCAUUUUUAUGCAUCUGGAGUUUGUCUUUCAAGCAGAGAUAAUUGAAAAAUGAAGUCAAGAAAAACAUAUAGAAUCAUCGUUGAAAAAUAUAAGUGCAUAGUCUUUGAUUCAUGGCCCUUUUGGUGCAUCUGGUUUUCAAAAAAAAAUACACCGAUAUACUCAUAGUCUGUCAAUGAAUAUCUCAGAGAUAUUAAACGUUAAUCAAUAGUGCAACUUUCUUAUUUCUUGUUGUUGCUUUAAAAAAAAAGAAGUCUAUUAUUUUUUUUUCUUUUUCAAAAUUGUUUUUAUUGUACCUGCUAUAUAGAUGGAUUGUAAACUUAACCAUACUUUCGAGUGAAAAAAAAAAUGUUUAUAUACAUGGCAAUUAAAAGUCAGUUGCUGAAUGUCUUGUUGGCAAUCAUACCACCUUCCUUACUUUUGUAAAGCAAUUUUAAGUAAAUAUUUCAAGAGUCCAUUUUCCUUAGUUCUGUUGACUUUAAAAAAACCUUGCUUGUGACAUAGGUUCAGGAGAUACGUCAUUUUAACUACAUCUGUAAAAUAUACUUUUUUUAUAUGUAAGAAAGAUAAAAGUAAAGUAAAUUUACAAUAUCGUUAGUUACUUUUCUUUGUUUUUAUUUAUAGGUUUAGGCUUUGAAUCGCUACCAUUACAUGCCAUCAUUAUUGGAGCUGUAGGUGGUGUGCUAGGAACCAUAAUUGUUAUCGGGGUAUGUCUAAUUUGCCGUUACAGAAGCCGAAAGCGACAGAAACAAAGGCAGGAACAACGUGAUAAAUUAAAGGAAAAUUUUGAAAUGUCCAACAUAAGUGCUAACACAACUUUACUAACGAAAAAGAAUGCCGGACAACCUAACUAUUUUUCACUACCACGUCAGCAUCGAAGUGGAGGCCAAAGAGACUAUAUACGUAGGGACAGUGGUACCAAUUCAAGUGUUCCUUCAGAGGGCGAUGUUCCAGAUCACAAUUCUGACCCAGGGAAUUAUAAAAAAUAUUUAGUCAUGGAUCAAUAUUUGGACGAAGAACCUUGUCCGUCAGUUUAUAGUCAAGGUCCAGUUUUAACGACUAUAAUUGAACGGCAUGAUGUGCCAAUGCAACAACAGGAAAUCGAUGGGUCAUACGGUUGGACCGGAUAUGGAUGGAAACCACCUCAGUCUGAUAAUAAAUCGCCAAUGAGUCUGACAGAGAACAUUGCUAAAUUAGCACAAUAUAACAUUCCACAAAAAACUUUAAAUCCAGACUAUAAAAUGUAUACAUCGGAUCCGAAAUAUGAAAUGUAUCCAGAAGUACGAUUCAAUAUAGGAAAGGAUUAUUCCAAAUUAAAAUAUCCGCAUCCUCAACAUCAACCAGAAAUCCCUACACCUACGAAGGAACAUCAGAAAAGUUUUAAAAUGUCCAGCCCUCAUCCUGACAUUACUCGAGAUUUAGAAGUUACGUAAAACUAUAUGAAAGGUUAAUGAAAAGACUUUGGAGAACAUAUUGAUAUUGCUUCGUCAAAGUAAUGACUUGUUAUAACAAGUAUACGAAGAACAGAACGUUAUUAGGAACAAAGCAAUCCUUAGACUCUUUACUCGAUCAACCAAAACAAUUGUAAACAUUUGGUUACAAUAAAAAGAUAGCGAGUUUUAAGUGCACCUAUCAGAUAUCCAAAAUAUUGUUUCCAUGAAAGAAGGCUGAGAGAAUUGUGACUAACUACUAGUUUUCAUUGCGCAUUGUAUUAUAGCAUUAUGUUUUAAUAGCAUUAUACUGAUGAAGAAAAGGACACUAAGCAAAUCAAAUGUGACUGAUUGUGAAUACAUUCACCCAUAUGUAACCAAAUUUUGAAUUUUCAUUACAACCACCACCAAAACGAAAAUAUUUUUAGAUGAUACUUUUAGCUACUCCAAAAUACACCAAAAUGGCGUUUUAAUUCUUGCAAUAAGUUCGUGGUUUUGUCUUGUGUUUUUGGUAUUUCAUGGCUAUUACCACGACUCAUUGUGCACUGUAGACGUCCGUAUAUAUCCGUCUGUUGAUUUAUUUAUCACAACACUUUGUUUAUAUCAAAGUUCUAUUUAUAGGUUUCAAAGUAUAAACAAUAUAUCAGAACUAUUUUAACAGAUAAUCAGUAACUAAAUAUAAGUAGAUAAGUAUCAUAUAAGUAUACGUUAAAUUUCAUCUUAAAGACUGUAAUAAUAUCUAAACUGAUAGACAUAUAUAUAUUGUGUCGAGAACAUGAUAGUACCAACCCAAAAAAGUAUGACCUUGCAUAAAAUCUAAUUACUAAAGUGGGAAGGAAUUAUUAUUCCUAUCUCUUGAAAUCAUGCAUAUACUAAACACUAAAAUGUCUCGCCAGUAAUAUUUCAAUUAUUUCAAAUAGCAAUACACUUCAGAGGAGGAUUUAGAGGGGCAGAGGGCCCGCACCCCCUCCUUUUUGGGGAAAAAAAUUCGGUUGCUUAUAUAGGGAAUCACUGAAGCGUGACUGGAGCGGCCCCCUCUUAGGCAGUUAGUGGGUCCCCACUUAUUAAAAUUUCUGGAUCCGCCAGUGCACUUUGAAACUUAUAGUAAUGUCACAAGAAAUAGUGUUAUUUCAAGUGUACGUUAAUUUAUUAAUAAGUUAAAAGAAACAACAGUUGCGUACAUUUGAAAAACUUGUUGACCUGAUAAAAAAAAAUCGUUGCAGGCGAGACAAAAUUUAAACGAAUCUUCACAAUCUUCAAAAUAAAUCACCACAUAUGAUAAUUCUUUUUAAUAGUUUGAGCAUAGUAUUUUCGAAUGUCUUAUAAUUCUUUGCCAUCUGGAGAAUUGUA